GGAUAUCUGGAAAAUCCCCGUGUCACUUUCGGUUUUGUUUACUUCGAUCUCGCUAAACGUACAGUGGUUUACGAAAUUUAAACAGCCAGAAUAUAAAACUCAUGCUGAACUUUUACAAUGUUCAGAUGCUUGAAUCUUCUGCUGUUUUGUCUCGUCUAUCACAGCGGAAACACAUCUAUAUCUGUGUCAGGAAAAAAGGGAGGAAACGUCACACUAACAUGUGAAUCUGAGGCCGAUGAGAUUGUUCACAUUGAGUUAUUCAGUGAGUCAGAAGAGAUAGAUGUGUGUCAGGAUGAAGAAUGUAGUGGACGAGUGUUUAAAGAAGGAAACUGUGACGUCGUCAUCAAGAAUCUGAGCUUCAAUGAUGCUGGGAAAUAUAUUUUGAGAAUCUAUUACAAUAAUGAUCAGUCAGAGCUGGAGCCACAAAUCAGGACGUACCAAGUUCAUAUUCAUGGUAUGAACUGUAUAAACUGAUAAAACCAUCAGUAUCUGCUUUUUUAAAUGAUUACAUUUGGUUCCCCGAUACUAAAUAUACAUUUAUGGCCUUGAUUGAUCGACAGCAUUAUAAUAAUGAUUAAUGUCUUUCUGUUUCUCCUCAGAUGAGAUUUCUGUGAAAACAGGCGAGGAGCUAAAGAUGCAUGUUCUGUUGUCUAAUGCUGAUAAAGUGGAGACAAGCUCUAGUGGAGAGUGGAAGGAGGUUCGGAGCAGAACUGAUGGGGUUCAGAGCGAUCGACUGAAUGAAAAUGAUGAAAAUCUGAUCUUUAAAUCCUUUGCAUCAAGUGAUGCAGGAGCAUACAGAGUUCUGGAUUCAGAAGGAGAAAUCUUGAUCACAGUGACAGUCACAGGUGAGAGAAACUCAGAUAUAUGUGUAACGAAACUGUAAGUCUCGUUCCAUAGGGGAAAUGAAAGUUACCCUGGAAGACUUGAGAAUGAAAGGAUCUUGGUCCCCACUCUGGCGCUUUGAGUCUCAGUGUGCACAAUGUGUGUAUGUUUUAUCUUACACUAUUGUAUAAUAUACUACAGGAAUAGGUAGUGUAGGCUUCAGGUCAGUAGGUUUCAAUACGGUGGCUUCCUGAAGUAUAAGCAUGUGAUGUAAAGUGACAACUCAAAUUCACAUUCCCAC
rnacentral:lncRNA from 1 species